UACGGAAGGGGGCUAGCGUUGCUCGGAAUUACUGGGCGUAAAGGGCGCGUAGGCGGACAGUUUAGUCAGAGGUGAAAGCCCAGGGCUCAACCCUGGAAUUGCCUUUGAUACUGGCUGUCUUGAGUACGGGAGAGGUGUGUGGAACUCCGAGUGUAGAGGUGAAAUUCGUAGAUAUUCGCAAGAACACCAGUGGCGAAGGCGGCUCACUGGCCCGAUACUGACGCUGAGGCACGAAAGCGUGGGGAGCAAACAGGG
rnacentral:rRNA from 1 species